ACUGAGAGCAGAACGAAUCACAAUCUUCAUCAUCACACAAGACACAACAACAACAAUGAACAACAUCAUCAUCCUCAUCUGGACUCUGACUCUCUGCAUUCAGGAGAUCUGGGGACAAGUGACAGUGACUCAGAAUCCAGAAAUAAAAUCCAUCAAUCAAGGAGAAACUGUUACAAUCAGCUGUAAAACCAGUCAGCUGAUUUCUGGCUGUAGUGACUGUGUGUCUUGGUAUCAGCAGAAACCUGGAGAAGCUCCUAAACUCCUCAUUUAUUACAUAAACAGCCUCCAGUCAGGAACUCCUUCUAGAUUCAGUGGCAGUGGAGCUAGCUACGGAAGUGAUUUCUCUCUGACCAUCAGUGGAGUCCAGACUGAAGAUACAGGAGAUUAUUAUUGUCAGAGUUACCCACAGUGGUGGUGUGUUCACACAGUGAUAAAGAGUCGUACAAAAACCUCCGUCAGUCAGAGUCACAGUGACUGCACUGAUACAGCUGAGAGACACUGCAGCUGCUGAUGAGAGGCGGGUGAUAAACAAUGCAAUGACAAUAAUGUUAAAUUACACAUUUUUCUAAUAACAUUAAAUUAUUAUUAUUAUUAUUAUUAUUAUUAUUAUUAUUAUUAUUAUUUUACUAAGUAUAGCAAACAUAGUUGUUGUAUGUUCUGUAACUUAUUUUAUUUUAAAUAACAGUUAGUGCUCAGACAGGUCAGUCUUUGUGUCUCUCCUCUUGUGUUUCAGAUCAGUUUAUGAGAACGGAGUGGAAACCGAGGCAGAGAUUUUUAAUUUAGAUUUUUGAUUGCAGAGCAAUUGUGUUUUCUGUCUCAUAAUUGUUCACUGAUUGAUCAGAGUGCUUUUUUUUCACCGGUGAAAAGAAACACAAAUUUAACUAGAUUUUGUCUGGAAGGUAGGUUAUUUCUUGCUUAUAGAAAUGUUAUAUAAAAACAAUGUCACACUCACAGUUUUGCUGUGGCUUUAUGUCUAUGAUAGAAUCUGUGCUGAUAUUCAGUACAACUUUUUGUCAUGUGAUAUUGCUUAAAUGCAGCAGGAUGAAAGAAAACAACAAAAGACCUUCAAGCCUAAGACAACUUCAGCAUGGACGUUUAAUACACUCUACAUUUUGAUUGCAAAAAAAUAAA